AUGGACAAUCUGCGCUCCCUUCUCGCGGCUCUCCUCCUCGUGUGCUUCGGCUUCGGUGCCGGCGUCCUGGGCGAUGGCGAUGGCGAGCAGUUCGUCUACUCCGGCUUCGCGGGCGCGAACGCCACCCUGGCCCUGGACGGCACGGCCCUCGUCCAGCCGAGCGGGCUCCUGGAGCUGACCAACGGCACGGCCCAGCUCUCGAGCCACGCGGUUCACCGGACGCCGCUGCGCCUGCGGAGGUCCCCGGGGGACGCCGUGCGCUCCUUCUCGGCGUCCUUCGUGUUCGGCAUCAUCCCCCCGUACUCCGACCUCAGCGGCCACGGCAUCGUCUUCUUCGUCGGCAAGGACAACUUCUCGGCCGCGCUGCCGAGCCAGUACCUGGGCCUCCUCAACAGCGCCAACAACGGCAACGCCACCAACCAAAUCUUCGGCGUAGAGCUCGACACCAUCCAGAGCACGGAGUUCAACGACACCAACGACAACCACGUCGGCAUCGACGUCAACAGCCUCAAGUCCGUGGCAGCGCACUCGGCCGGCUACUACGACGACGAGACCGGCGCGUUCAAUGAGCUGCUCCUGAUCAGCGGCAAGGCGAUGCAGGUCUGGGUGGACUACGAGAGCGACUCCACGCAGAUCAGCGUGUUCCUGGCGCCUCUGAAGAAUGGAGCCAAGCCUUCGACGCCCCUGGUGUCAGCCAAGAGCAACCUGUCGAAGGUGCUCGUGGAGCCGGCGUACGCCGGCUUCUCGUCGUCGACGGGCACGGUCAGGUCCCGCCACUACCUUCUCGGCUGGAGCUUCGCCAUGGACGGCCCUGCACCUCCCAUCGACAUCGGCAGCCUGCCGAAGCUGCCGUUCGUGGGCGCCAAGCCGCGGUCUAAGGUGCCGGACAUCGUCCUGCCGAUCGCCACCGCGGCAUUCGUCCUCGGCGUGGUGGCCGUGGUGAUCCUGCUCGUCCGGCGGCGGUCCAGGUACGCGGAGGUGCGGGAGGAGUGGGAGGUGGAGUUCGGGCCGCACAGGUUCACGUACAAGGACCUGUUCCGCGCCACGGAAGGGUUCAAGAACAAGACGCUGCUGGGGUUCGGCGGCUUCGGGAGGGUGUACAAGGGGGCGCUCCCCAAGUCGAAGCUGGAGGUGGCGGUGAAGAAGGUGUCGCACGAGUCGAGGCAGGGCAUCAAGGAGUUCGUGGCGGAGGUGGUCACCAUCGGCCGCCUCCGGCACCGCAACCUCGUGCAGCUGCUCGGCUACUGCCGCCGGAAGGGGGAGCUCCUCCUGGUGUACGACUACAUGUCCAACGGCAGCCUCGACAAGUACCUGUACUCCGGCAGCAAGGAGAAGCCGGCGCUGGACUGGGCGCAGAGGUUCCGGAUCAUCAAGGGCGUCGCGUCGGGCCUCCUGUACAUCCACGAGGACUUCGAGCAGGUCAUCAUCCACCGGGACAUCAAGGCCAGCAACGUGCUCCUCGACGCCGACAUGAACGGGCGGCUGGGCGACUUCGGCCUGGCGCGGCUGUACGACCACGGCGCCGACCCGCAGACGACGCACGUGGUGGGCACCAUGGGGUACCUGGCCCCCGAGCUGGCGCGGACGGGGAAGGCGUCCCCUCUCACCGACGUGUUCGCCUUCGGCGCCUUCAUCCUCGAGGUAGCCUGCGGCCGGAGGCCCGUGGAGCAGGCCAUGAACGACAGCCGGCUCAUGCUGGUGGACUGGGUGCUCGAGCACUGGCAGAAGGAGUCGCUCCUCGAGGUGGUCGACGCGAGGCUCGACGGCAACUACGACGCCGGCGAGGUGGUCCUGGCGCUGAAGCUGGGGUUGAUGUGCUCGCACCCCAUGCCCGGCGCGAGGCCUAGCAUGCGGCAGGUGAUGCAGUACCUCGAGGGUGACAUGCCGAUCCCCGAGCUGACGCCCACGCAGAUGAGCUUCAGUAUGCUGGCCCUGAUGCAGAGCCAAGGGUUCGACUCUUUCGUCUUGUCGGCGACGUCGGAUCCGUCGUCCGCCACGAAUACGAUGAUGACCAUGGGCACAAUCAGUGGACUCUCCGGAGGGAGAUGA
rnacentral:rRNA from 1 species